rnacentral:rRNA from 1 species
GAUGAACGCUGGCGGCGUGCCUAAUACAUGCAAGUCGAGCGAACAGACGAGGAGCUUGCUCCUCUGACGUUAGCGGCGGACGGGUGAGUAACACGUGGAUAACCUACCUAUAAGACUGGGAUAACUUCGGGAAACCGGAGCUAAUACCGGAUAAUAUAUUGAACCGCAUGGUUCAAUAGUGAAAGACGGUUUUGCUGUCACUUAUAGAUGGAUCCGCGCCGCAUUAGCUAGUUGGUAAGGUAACGGCUUACCAAGGCAACGAUGCGUAGCCGACCUGAGAGGUUGAUCGGCCACACUGGAACUGAGCCACGGUCCAGACUCCUACGGGAGGCAGCAGUAGGGAAUCUUCCGCAAUGGGCGAAAGCUUGACGGAGCAACGCCGCGUGAGUGAUGAAGGUCUUCGGAUCGUAAAACUCUGUUAUUAGGGAAGAACAAAUGUGUAAGUAACUAUGCACGUCUUGACGGUACCUAAUCAGAAAGCCACGGCUAACUACGUG